UGAUGUUUUUCAUGGAUGGCGUCGUGGAUUUGGCGUGAUUGAAGGCAGUUUGUGGAUUCGAAUCGUGGGCUCGUGGGUUCAAGUGGCGUUCGUGGAUUCGGACGUGUGCAAGGCGUUCGUGGAUUCGAACGUGAGGGCGUGGACAACCCAAAGGAUUGCGCGAGAUUCGUAAGAGGUUAAGAGAGGUCGAGUCCGUGGAGUCGGUAAUCACCUUGUAAUCUUUGCUCUUAGUGAAUUGCUUUUUUUUUCGCGUGUUGGUCUCGUGGGUUUUUCUCCAAGUUAGAGUUUUUCCACGUAAAUCUCGGUGUGAUUUUUAUUUUCUGCAUUUAUUUUUAUCGCAUUGAGAU
rnacentral:lncRNA from 1 species